UACGGAGGGUGCAAGCGUUAUCCGGAUUCACUGGGUUUAAAGGGUGCGUAGGUGGGUUGGUAAGUCAGUGGUGAAAUCCCCCGAGCUUAACUUGGGAACUGCCAUUGAUACUAUCAGUCUUGAAUACCGUGGAGGUUAGCGGAAUAUGUCAUGUAGCGGUGAAAUGCUUAGAUAUGACAUAGAACACCAAUUGCGAAGGCAGCUGGCUACACGAAUAUUGACACUGAGGCACGAAAGCGUGGGGAUCAAACAGG
rnacentral:rRNA from 1 species